CACGUAGGGGGGCGAGCGUUGUCCGGAAUCAUUGGGCGUAAAGGGCGCGUAGGCGGCCACUGCAAGUCGGUUGUGAAAUCUCCGGGCUUAACCCGGAAAGGUCAAUCGAUACUGCAGGGCUAGAGUGCGGAAGAGGCAAGUGGAAUUCCCGGUGUAGCGGUGAAAUGCGCAGAUAUCGGGAGGAACACCAAUGGCGAAGGCAGCUCUCUGGGACGGUACUGACGCUGAGACGCGAAAGCGUGGGGAGCGAACAGG
rnacentral:rRNA from 1 species